AUUGAACGCUGGCGGCAGGCUUAACACAUGCAAGUCGAACGAGUGGCGGACGGGUGAGUAAUGCUUGGGAAUCUGGCUUAUGGAGGGGGAUAACGACGGGAAACUGUCGCUAAUACCGCAUACCAUCAGAUGUGCCCAGAUGGGAUUAGCUAGUAGGUGGGGUAACGGCUCACCAAGGCGACGAUCAGUAGCUGGUCUGAGAGGAUGACCCGCCACACUGUAACUGAGACACGGCCCAGACUCCUACGGGAGGCAGCAGUGGGGAAUUUUGGACAAUGGGCGCAAGCCUGAUGCAGCCAUGCCGCGUGUCUGAAGAAGGCCUUCGGGUUGUAAAGGACUUUUGUUAGGGAAGCGGUACCUGCAGAAUAAGCACCGGCUAACUACGUGCCAGCAGCCGCGGUAAUUC
rnacentral:rRNA from 1 species